rnacentral:rRNA from 1 species
AUUGAACGCUGGCGGCAUGCCUAACACAUGCAAGUCGAACGGCAGCACGAUCUAGCUUGCUAGAUUGAUGGUGAGGGGCGAACGGGUGAGUAAUACAUCGCAACGUGUCCUGUUGCGGGGGAUAUCUAGUAGAUAGAUUAGCUAAUACCGCACACGACCUGAGGGUGUGAGUGGGGGACCUCAACGCCUCAUGCGCUAGGAGCGGCCGAUGUCUGAUUAGCUAGUUGGGGGGGUAAAGGUUCACCAAGGCGACGAGCAGUAGCUGGUCUGAGAGGACGAUCAGCCACACUGGGACUGAGACACGGCCCAGAGUACUACGGGAGGCAGCAGUGGGGAAUUUUGGACAAUGGGCGAAAGCCUGAUCCAGCGAUGCCGCGUGUGUGAAGAAGGCCUUCGGGUUGUAAAGCACUUUUGUCCGGAAAGAAAUGCCUCUGGUUAAUACCUGGGGUCGAUGACGGUACCGGAAGAAUAAGGACCGGCUAACUACGUG